rnacentral:lncRNA from 1 species
AUGGUUCGUUAGGCUUUAUAGUUAAUGAAACUUUAUUGAAAUAUGCAGCACCCAAUAUCAACGUAUGUUGCAGCAAAUCUGGAAAAUUAUCUAGAUAUCUGGUUGAUUAUUAUUACAAAACGACCUUUGUGCCUCUUGUCACAGAUCCUUGUUAUAGAUGCUUGGACUGGACACACUAAUUCCGAAAUUUAUGCGAGUAUCUUUGGCCAUCAAAAUAACCGACCGGAAUGCCGAAUUGUAAUAAUUUCUGAAAAGUGUACAGCACAAUGUUAGCCGUUAGACACAAUUGUACAUAGAUAAAUAAAAUACUUACAAAAUAGAAUUGUAACUGUUUUAGAAUUGUUAUAUGACCAUUCUACAUUGCCUAAUGAGGAAAACUGGACAAGCAGAGCAGGUAUCAUAUAUCUCCAGUCAUUAAUACAUCGCCAAAUUUCAUCUGAUAUAUUCAGAUCUCUAUUAUUGUAUUCUUGGUGUUAAGCUG